rnacentral:rRNA from 1 species
UACGGAGGGUGCAAACGUUGCUCGGAAUCAUUGGGCGUAAAGCGCACGUAGGCGGUUUUUUAAGUCGGAUGUGAAAGCCCUCGGCUCAACCGAGGAAGUGCAUUCGAAACUAGAAGGCUUGAGUACGGAAGAGGGUCUCGGAAUUCCCGGUGUAGAGGUGAAAUUCGUAGAUAUCGGGAGGAACACCAGUGGCGAAGGCGGAGACCUGGGCCGAUACUGACGUUGAGGUGCGAAAGCGUGGGGAGCAAACAGG